rnacentral:rRNA from 1 species
UCAGGUGGCCGCAGAGAAUAGGACCAAGCGACUGUUUACCAAAAACAUAGGUUUCUGCUAAGUCGCAAGACGAUGUAUAGGAGCUGACGCCUGCCCGGUGCUGGAAGGUUAAGGGGAUCUGUUAGAGCAAUCGAAGCAGUGAACUUAAGCCCCAGUAAACGGCGGCCGUAACUAUAACGGUCCUAAGGUAGCGAAAUUCCUUGUCGGGUAAGUUCCGACCCGCACGAAAGGCGUAACGAUUUGGGCACUGUCUCAACAACAGACUCGGUGAAAUUGUAAUUCCGGUGAAGAUGCCGGAUACCUGCGACAGGACGGAAAGACCCCAUGGAGCUUUACUGUAGCUUGACAUUGGGUCUUGGUACUACAUGUACAGGAUAGGUGGGAGGCUUUGAAACCAGGACGCCAGUUUUGGCGGAGCCAUCCUUGGGAUACCACCCUUGUAGUACUGGGACUCUAACCAUAGGCCAUGAAUCUGGUCUUGGGACACUGUCAGGUGGGCAGUUUGACUGGGGCGGUCGCCUCCCAAAAGG